rnacentral:rRNA from 1 species
GUGCAGCAGCCGCGGUAAUACGAAGGGGGCGAGCGUUGUUCGGAAUUACUGGGCGUAAAGGGCGCGUAGGCGGUCAUUUAAGUUAGGCGUGAAAGCCCCGGGCUCAACCCGGGAACUGCGCUUAAAACUGAAGGACUAGAAAACGGAAGAGGGUAGUGGAAUUCCCAGUGUAGAGGUGAAAUUCGUAGAUAUUGGGAAGAACACCAGUGGCGAAAGCGGCUACCUGGUCCGAUUUUGACGCUGAGGCGCGAAAGUGUGGGUAGCGAACAGGAUUAGAUA